GUGUGCUGGACAAAAUAACUUUCCACAUUGACCAAAAUGUGACCCUCAUUCCCCCCUCUCCCAUCCCCUCCUCCAUACCUAUCAGAGUAUACCCAGCUGAUGCUAAUUCAGCUCCUCCUACUUGCAUAAAAAGGAAGGGGGAUAACCAAAAUAAAGACUUCAUCUAUAUGUUUUCUCCUGACAAGACACUGCCGAAACCAAAAAAGUGGAAUGUGACUUCACCAGCUCCAGUGCCAAGGAAAAGUCUUGCUACACAGCAAGAGGAUGAUCUAGUUUCUCUACAAGAGUCAGACACCCUCAUAGAAUCAUCCGUUGUCAGCAAGAAAGCAAAUCAGAAAGCAAGCAAAG